AGCCCCACCAGCCACACCCCGGCACUCGAUGUUCCCGCUAUGGCUGCUCCCUUCCGGGCCUGACCAGGUUAACGGGUAAUCAAUGCGGGGGGACCGAUGG
rnacentral:SRP_RNA from 1 species